CCUACGGGGGGCUGCAGUGGGGAAUAUUGGACAAUGGGGGGAACCCUGAUCCAGCCAUGCCGCGUGUGUGAAGAAGGCCCUCGGGUUGUAAAGCACUUUCAGUGAGGAAGAACGCCUGGUGGUUAAUACCCAUCAGGAAAGACAUCACUCACAGAAGAAGCACCGGCUAACUCCGUGCCAGCAGCCGCGGUAGUACGGAGGGUGCGAGCGUUAAUCGGAAUUACUGGGCGUAAAGCGCGCGUAGGUGGCUUGAUAAGCCGGUUGUGAAAGCCCCGGGCUCAACCUGGGAACGGCAUCCGGAACUGUCAAGCUAGAGUGCAGGAGAGGAAGGUAGAAUUCCCGGUGUAGCGGUGAAAUGCGUAGAGAUCGGGAGGAAUACCAGUGGCGAAGGCGGCCUUCUGGACUGACACUGACACUGAGGUGCGAAAGCGUGGGUAGCAAACAGGAUUAGAUACCCGUGUAGUC
rnacentral:rRNA from 1 species